GCUGGGUGUGGUGGCGCAUGCCUAUAAUCCCAGCUAUUCAGGAGGCUGAGGCAGGAGGAUCACAAGUUCAAAACCAGCUUCAG
rnacentral:sRNA from 1 species